CCUACGGGAGGCAGCAGUGGGGAAUAUUGGACAAUGGGGGGAACCCUGAUCCAACCAUGCCGCGGGUGUGAAGAAGGCCCUCGGGUUGUAAAGCACUUUCAGUGAGGAAGAACGCCUGGUGGUUAAUACCCAUCAGGAAAGACAUCACUCACAGAAGAAGCACCGGCUAACUCCGUGCCAGCAGCCGCGGUAAUACGGAGGGUGCGAGCGUUAAUCGGAAUUACUGGGCGUAAAGCGCGCGUAGGUGGCUUGAUAAGCCGGUUGUGAAAGCCCCGGGCUCAACCUGGGAACGGCAUCCGGAACUGUCAAGCUAGAGUGCAGGAGAGGAAGGUAGAAUUCCCGGUGUAGCGGUGAAAUGCGUAGAGAUCGGGAGGAAUACCAGUGGCGAAGGCGGCCUUCUGGACUGACACUGACACUGAGGUGCGAAAGCGUGGGUAGCAAACAGGAUUAGAUACCCCUGUAGUC
rnacentral:rRNA from 1 species